UGACACAGAUGCUGGUCUUGAGGAUUAAGCCAUGCACGUUGGGCACGCGAGAGCAAGCAGCGAACGGCUCAGUAAGGCAGUCAGGACCGGCUUGGCAGACGGGGCGGACAUCCGAGGAAACCUUCGGCCAAGACGGCGCAGGAAGGGGGGCAUCCGGGCGGAGGCAGGACGCCAGAGCGGCGCGAGGCGCAGCCAAACGGGAGACUGGCCCAUCAGCUGGAAGGUAGGGUCUAGGCCUACCUUGGCGACGACGGGAGCGGGGAAUAGGGGUUUGGUUCCGGAGAAGGAGGCUGAGAGACGGCUCCUAGGUCCAAGGACCGCAGCAGGCGCGGAAAUUGCUCACUUCCCGGGGGGAGAAGCAGCGAGGAGACGUACGAAGGAUGGGCGCGGGGUAAUUGAGCGCGCGACGAGCGACUGGAGGGCAAGUCUGGUGCCAGCAGCCGCGGUAAUUCCAGCUCCAGAAGGGUCUGUGGUGGUUGCUGCAGUUAAAAGGUCCGCAGCCGGGCAGGGCGCCCGUGGGGAAAGCAGGCAGCUCAAGGAAGCAUGUUAAUCACGGGACGAGGGCAGAGAGGGGCGGGAAGGGGCAGGAGGAUUUGGCAGCCAGAGGUGAAAUUCGGAGACUUGCCGAGGACGGACAGAGGCGAAGGCGCCUGCCAGGGACGCUUUCAUUGGUCAGGGACGAAAGGCCGGAGGAUCGAAGACGAU
rnacentral:rRNA from 1 species